rnacentral:rRNA from 1 species
UGCCUAUACAUGCAAGUCGAACGAACUCUGGUAUUGAUUGGUGCUUGCAUCAUGAUUUGCAUUUGAGUGAGUGGCGAACUGGUGAGUAACACGUGGGAAACCUGCCCAGAAGCGGGGAUAACACCUGGAAACAGAUGCUAAUACCGCAUAACAACUUGGACCGCAUGGUCCGAGUUUGAAAGAUGGCUUCGGCUAUCACUUUUGGAUGGUCCCGCGGCGUAUUAGCUAGAUGGUGGGGUAACGGCUCACCAUGGCAAUGAUACGUAGCCGACCUGAGAGGGUAAUCGGCCACAUUGGGACUGAGACACGGCCCAAACUCCUACGGGAGGCAGCAGUAGGGAAUCUUCCACAAUGGACGAAAGUCUGAUGGAGCAACGCCGCGUGAGUGAAGAAGGGUUUCGGCUCGUAAAACUCUGUUGUUAAAGAAGAACAUAUCUGAGAGUAACUGUUCAGGUAUUGACGGUAUUUAACCAGAAAGCCACGGCUAACUACGUGCCAGCAGCCGCGGUAAUACGUAGGUGGCAAGCGUUGUCCGGAUUUAUUGGGCGUAAAGCGAGCGCAGGCGGUUUUUUAAGUCUGAUGUGAAAGCCUUCGGCUCAACCGAAGAAGUGCAUCGGAAACUGGGAAACUUGAGUGCAGAAGAGGACAGUGGAACUCCAUGUGUAGCGGUGAAAUGCGUAGAUAUAUGGAAGAACACCAGUGGCGAAGGCGGCUGUCUGGUCUGUAACUGACGCUGAGGCUCGAAAGUAUGGGUAGCAAACAGGAUUAGAUACCCUGGUAGUCCAUACCGUAAACGAUGAAUGCUAAGUGUUGGAGGGUUUCCGCCCUUCAGUGCUGCAGCUAACGCAUUAAGCAUUCCGCCUGGGGAGUACGGCCGCAAGGCUGAAACUCAAAGGAAUUGACGGGGGCCCGCACAAGCGGUGGAGCAUGUGGUUUAAUUCGAAGCUACGCGAAGAACCUUACCAGGUCUUGACAUACUAUGCAAAUCUAAGAGAUUAGACGUUCCCUUCGGGGACAUGGAUACAGGUGGUGCAUGGUUGUCGUCAGCUCGUGUCGUGAGAUGUUGGGUUAAGUCCCGCAACGAGCGCAACCCUUAUUAUCAGUUGCCAGCAUUAAGUUGGGCACUCUGGUGAGACUGCCGGUGACAAACCGGAGGAAGGUGGGGAUGACGUCAAAUCAUCAUGCCCCUUAUGACCUGGGCUACACACGUGCUACAAUGGAUGGUACAACGAGUUGCGAACUCGCGAGAGUAAGCUAAUCUCUUAAAGCCAUUCUCAGUUCGGAUUGUAGGCUGCAACUCGCCUACAUGAAGUCGGAAUCGCUAGUAAUCGCGGAUCAGCAGCC